GCUGGGUGUGGUGGCGCGUGCCUGUAAUCCCAGCUACUCGGAGGCUGAGGCAGGAGAAUCGCUUGAACCCAGGAGGCAGAGCUUGCAGUGAGCCGAGAUCGUGCCACUGCACUCCAGCCUGGGUGACAGAGCGAGACUCCAUCUCAA
rnacentral:sRNA from 1 species